rnacentral:rRNA from 1 species
UGCGUGAAGUCGGAAUUGCUAGUAAUCGCGGAUCAGCAUGCCGCGGUGAAUACGUUCCCGGGCCUUGUACACACCGCCCGUCACACCAUGAGAGCCGGUAAUACCCGAAGUCAGUAGUCUAACCGCAAGGAGGACGCUGCCGAAGGUAGGAUUGGCGAUUGGGGUGAAGUCGUAACAAGGUAAC